rnacentral:SRP_RNA from 1 species
AGCUGGGGUAGUAGCGGCACCCUGUACCUGCAAUCCGCUAUAGCAGGAGUGAUGUUCGGCCUAGGGCAAUAUAUUUAUGGAGCUGCCCGGUAAAAGUGGUGUUGACAUUUGGGUCUUCCGCAACAGAAAUUCAUGAAUCAUGUCAGGUCAGGAAUGAAGCAGCAUUAAGUGAAACCUUCUGUGUGCCGGAAGGGUGCCUGGAUCGAGCUAACUGUACCGGUAACGUCUGUGGGUAUUUGUUCG